GGGUGCCUAGCGCACUUUGUGGCGAAGUUAACGCGAUAAGUCGACCGCCUGGGGAGUACGGCCGCAAGGUUAAAACUCAAAUGAAUUGACGGGGGCCCGCACAAGCGGUGGAGCAUGUGGUUUAAUUCGAUGCAACGCGAAGAACCUUACCUACUCUUGACAUCCUGCGAAUUUGGUAGAGAUACCUUAGUGCCUUCGGGAACGCAGAGACAGGUGCUGCAUGGCUGUCGUCAGCUCGUGUUGUGAAAUGUUGGGUUAAGUCCCGUAACGAGCGCAACCCUUGUCCUUAUUUGCCAGCGUGUAAUGGCGGGAACUCUAAGGAGACUGCCGGUGACAAACCGGAGGAAGGUGGGGACGACGUCAAGUCAUCAUGGCCCUUACGAGUAGGGCUACACACGUGCUACAAUGGUCGGUACAAAGGGUUGCCAACUCGCGAGAGUGAGCCAAUCCCGAAAAGCCGAUCUCAGUCCGGAUCGGAGUCUGCAACUCGACUCCGUGAAGUCGGAAUCGCUUGUAAUCGUGGAUCAGAAUGCCACGGUGAAUACGUUCC
rnacentral:rRNA from 1 species